GACCAAGCUGUGCCAUAGAAUCCAAUUCAAGAACGAAUCUGUAACCAUUUCCGGUGUAAAUGGAACUGUUGCAACUUUUAGCUGCAGCAAACUUGAUGACAAGAAGUGGAUAUGGGAUUGCAAGCAUGAUGGAAACAAAUCUGAGUACAACCAUAAAUUGUAUACAACAUUCACCGACAAAAAGACUUUUGCGUUGGUCGUUCGUUGUUGGGCUAGCGGUUUGAAGGGAUGGAGCGUAGUUUCCACAAAGAAAUUCCUUCAUGACGAUGUGCAAAUUCAAAUUCUGGAGCAUGUAAAAUCAUUGGGGUUUGAAACUGCAGACUCGCUUCCCCUUAGGUAUAAGCAAUGCCCUAAAAUUUAAAUAUCUAAUGUCAUAUGUAUAUCAUUGACAAUAAAAUAAUUCCAUUUGUGUUGGAUAUGAUAAACUUAUCUACAUAGAAAAUACACAAACAUGCUGCAGUGAUAUUUUAGUUAAGCUAGCACACACAUUUUGCAUAUGAAUAAAACAUUAAAAUCAAAGGUGAUGCCUCAACAAAAGGCCUACAUUUACACUGAUUGAGGAUUUCUUGAACGGUGUACAUGUUUUUGAGCAUCACAGUUGGCUGGGUAUCGGUUUUUGACUGAGAACCGUACGUGUGUACGUAUUUAGGUUUGUAUGUACAGGAGUUCUUGCCUUGAAAGGUGUCAGUUUGAGUCUUUGCUUUGGAGUUACUGGAUAAAUUGUUCUUACGCAUUUCGGAAUCAUAAUUAUUAUUAAAACUUUGGCAAGUCCAUAAAUCACAGCUUACUUAAGGAUUGGAGGGCAUCAUGGCUGACUACGUGGGCCAAGUGGACGACGGUUGGGAAAUCAAAAAUGUAAAUGCAAGCCAACCAGAAAUUUUGGGGGAUCUUAUCAUGCAAAAAUUCGUUGAAUCAAAGUCACAGAUUUAUACGUUUCUAUUAUGCGGAGAGUGCCUGCAAAUCCCCCCAAGCAACAAUUACCAAUAUGUAUGUGAGCAAGGGCAUGUCAUGUGUGAGUCCUGUGGAUAUAAAACAGCAGCCUGUGCAUUCGUUUAUUCAGGAAACAAAUGUGAUCGAAAAAUUUCUCGAGUUAAAAUCACCAUAGCUCAGCAGCAACUCAGCAAUUGCUUCCUUUCUGAUGAUACACCAGGCAAAGAAAUUUGUGAGGUCACCAUUCCUUCGCCGUCCGUAGUUGAAUCUGAGAAACUUGUGUUACCUGACGCAACAACGCAGCAACCAAACACUGAUGAUGUUAUCUCAAAAACGGUUUCCACUAAUGAAAUUGUCGCAGUCAAUCCUCCAAUAAAAUUGGAUGAAAAAUUAUCAGAUGAUAUUCAUGCCAUUACUAAUCCAGCAAUCGUGGAAGCCAUAGGUCUGCCUGAUAAUGCUCCUUCCACAGUUAUGUUAAAACCAAUUUCUACUGAACCAGCUACUCAAAUGGAUACAAUGGAAGAGAACUCAACUUGUGACUUUUCACCCAAAUCAUGCUCUUCUUCUCCAAAACUGGAAACUGAUAUGCAAAAAACAAUUGAUAUGGAGAAAGAUGAGGAAUCCCCCCAGAAAAUUGAGGAAUCACCCCAGGAGCUUGCCCCCCAGAAACUUGAGGCAUCUGAAUCCCCCCAGAAACUUGAGGCAUCGGAAUCCCCCCAGAAACUUGAGGCAUCUGAAUCCCCCCAGAAACUUGAGGCAUCGGAAUCCCCCCAGAAACUUGAGGAACUGCAGAAACUUGAGGAACUACCCCAGAAACUUGAGGAACUACCCCAGAAACUUGAGGCCUCGGAAUCCCCCCAGAAACUUGAGGCAUCUGAAUCCCCCAGAAACUUGAGGCAUCGGAAUCCCCCCAGAAACUUGAGGCAUCGGAAUCCCCCAGAAACUUGAGGCAUCUGAAUCCCCCCAGAAACUUGAGGCAUCGGAAUCCCCCCAGAAACUUGAGGAACUACCCCAGAAAAUUGAGGAACUACCCCAGCAACUUGAGAAACUGCAGAAACUUGAGGAACUACCCCAGAAACUUGAGGCAUCGGAAUCCCCCAGAAACUUGAGGAAUCCCUCCAGAACGUUGAGGAGUCGGAAUUCCCCCAGAAAGUUGAGAAAUCACCCCAGAAGCUUGAGGAAUCGGAAUCCCCCCAGAAAAUUGAGGCAUCGGAAUCCCCCCAGAAAAUUGAGGCAUCGGAAUCCCCCCAGAAAAUUGAGGCAUCGGAAUCCCCCAGAAACUUGAGAAAUCACCCCAGAAGCUUGAGGAAUCGGAAUCCCCCCAGAAACUUGAGGCAUCGGAAUCCCCCCAGAAAAUUGAGGAAUCUUCCCAGAAAGUUGAGGAAUCACCCCAGGAGCUUGCCCCCCAGAAACUUGAGGAACUACCCCAGAAACUUGAGGAACUACCCCAGAAACUUGAGGAACUACCCCAGAAACUUGAGGAACUACCCCAGAAACUUGAGGAACUACCCCAGAAACUUGAGGCCUCGGAAUCCCCCCAGAACGUUGAGGAGUCGGAAUUCCCCCAGAAAGUAGAGGAAUCACCCCAGGAGCUUGCCCCCCAGAAACUUGAGGAACUACCCCAGAAACUUGAGGCAUCGGAAUCCCCCCAGAACGUUGAGGAGUCGGAAUUCCCCCAGAAAGUUGAUAAAUCACCCCAGAAGCUUGAGGCAUCGGAAUCCCCCCAGAAACUUGAGGAACUACCCCAGCAACUUAAGAAACUACCCCAGAAACUUGAGGAAUCGGAAUCCUCACAGAAACUUGGGGAAACCUUCCAGGUAGAACAGACCCAACCAUUGGCAGCCAAAUUUUACCAUCUUAAAAGGCUCUCAAAAUAUUUCACAAAGGAAGAGCUCGCAGAUGUAAAAGAAUGGAUGGGAAGGACGUGUACAAACAUGACUGAAGCUGAAAGAACAAUCGUAUGUCGCUACCGUCUCCAUCAGAUCCUUGAGGAAAAAACAUUCGCAGAUUUUUUUUGGGAUUCGAUUCGAAAAUGAGAAUUACUCUGCGAGAUUCUUUUCUUCCGUAUAUGCAUACGGUAAUUCUGCUUAAAAUGCAUUCGUAUUCACUCCGCAAUUAACUGUUUCCAUAAGAACCUGAUCAAUAAUAUUACAUACGUAUGUAUACAAAUGGUUCCCUUUCUCCUUGAUAAGACGUGCACACUUUACAUGUUAAAUAUUUGAUGAACUUUUACCAUUACUUCCAGUGACAUGUAAUAAUGCGGUUAUUUUACACGAAUAAAGCUUCCAUUCAAUUCAUAAUUACAAACAA